rnacentral:rRNA from 1 species
UGAACGCUAGCGGCAGGCUUAAUACGUGCAAGUCGUGGGGCAGCAGGUCCAUAGCAAUAUGGAUAGCUGGCGACCGGCAAACGGGUGCGGAACACGUACAGAACCUUCCUUCGAGCGGGGAAUAGCCCAGAGAAAUUUGGAUUAAUACCCCAUAGUAUACUGAAGAGGCAUCUCUUUAGUAUUAAAGAUUUAUCACUUGAAGAUGGCUGUGCGGCUGAUUAGGUAGUUGGCGGGGUAAAGGCCCACCAAGCCUGCGAUCAGUAACUGGUGUGAGAGCACGACCAGUCACACGGGCACUGAGACACGGGCCCGACUCCUACGGGAGGCAGCAGUAAGGAUAUGGUCAAUGGACGAAAGUCUGAACCAGCCAUGCCGCGUGAACGGAUGAAGGUCCUCUGGAUUGUAAAGCACUUUAAGUUGGGAGGAAGGGUUGUAGAUUAAUACUCUGCAAUUUUGAC